CUCCCCCGCUGCUCUCGACGUUCAAAGUGAGCCGAGUCGAGGCGAGGAAGUCCCGUCCGCCUUGAGCGGCUCCACUCGUCAGGGAUGAGAUGUCACGCACGAGUGACGUCACACCGCAGCUGCCGCGUGAAGAGAUCCCCUGGGUUGCAAGUCCAGGCUGCGAACCAUUGCACCACGGCAUCGUGUACAUCACGCAGGUCGGUCGGCUGUGAGAGGGCUUUCUCUCUGCAAAACAACAUCAAGCCCGAGGAGUGGUUGCUCCUCUCGUGCAAGCAGUUGAACGCGCUUAUAGUUUGCGCCCGCGACAAGCCAAAACUCAGCAUCUUUCACGCCGAAGACGACAUGAAGCGCUGGAAGAAUGCGAAGAAGUGAAAGUACAUGUGCUCGUAAUCACGGCUCCGCAUUUGAAUAAAGUAUGUGGUUCUUGUGCGGAAAUGCGGAAAUCAUAUAUUCAUUCCAAUCAGUAACUCAAAGCCCUACGUGAUGCUGGGCCUUGCAUGUAUCCUUUCCAAUAGAACGCAUUAACGUGUUGUUAAAAGCGCGCGGUCAUAGGAGUAGUCUUUCCACCGUUUGCGGUUGACUUUAGCAAAAAUGCGGGAAAAU